ACAUAGGGAUCCUCCAUGGGACUGUACCUCUUCACCACUUGGCCCUCCCGGUUAAUGAGGAACUGUGGAAGUGAAGCAGCACCCAGGUCCGUGUCCGUCCCGGCCCCACGCCCGAGCGGCGCCAACCCCUUCCCUCCUACCGGUACUUCUCCAGAGAGACGUCGUUGCCAUCGAUGUCUCGGGCGUGGAAAUCAUAGAUGGCCUUGGCCGAGCGCCAGUCCUCCGCCUGGGCACAC